GAGACAAUAAUGAAGAAUUAAACACAAUUCACUAAUACAAUAUGGUUCUAAAAACUAAGUGAAUAGUAUAAGAUAGUGAUUCAUCAAAAGAGACCACUCUUAGUCUUUUGCACUCAUGGGCAAAAUCAAGACGCAAAACAAGGAAAAAUUCAAAAGACAUUAAGAGAAUGACCCAACCUUUAGGAAAAAAAAACAAAAAAAAAAAGAUUAACACAAUCUGUUGGGAUUGUUGACAACACAAUAUCUAUAUCAC
rnacentral:lncRNA from 1 species